CUCGCAUCCCACGGGAGCCCCACGGCACGGGGCUGAGACCGGGCUGACGCCGCCCGGACACCGUCUGAACCUGUCCGGGUCAUUCCGGCGAUGGAAGAAGGAGCCGCGGCCAUGU
rnacentral:ncRNA from 17 species